GUGAUGUUUUUAUUUUUCUUUUCUUUGGGUGUAGGAGCAUUUAUGGAGAUAUUUGACAAUUUAUAUGCGAAAUGCAGGUUGGCUUUGGUUUCUCUGUUCGAACCAGGCAAUGACUUUUGUUGUCACCUUUUCUAAUUUGGCAGCUACCUUAACUGUUGGCAUCUACCAGAAAAUCAUUGUUUACUUUUUAUCAUAGACUAGAAGAAAAGCUCUUGGAUAUGAUAAUAUGCUAUGCCAAUUUGCUGAUCCCAUGUUCUACACCCAUAUGGAUUAAAUCAACUGUUUGACAUUGAAAUAGACAAGGCACUAGCAUCUCAUUCUCAGUGACUCAACUUGUUGCAGGAGAUGUUCGCCGAUAUAGCUUUAGAGGUUGAUGUUCAAGCAAGGGGUAAGGAGCCAAUGCAUUCUCUGCUUUUCUUUCUCUCUUGAGUGUGUAUGCUUAGUAGUUCUGUUUUGGCCAAAAGUUGUUGGCUAUGGCUCAUCUUCAAUUGGAGAUUUACUUAGUGUUUCUCUUCAACAACAAUUGGCUAUUCAUUAGUCAUUAAGUUGGCUGAAUUUGAAGCUUUCUCUUGUACUAAUAAUUGACUGGAUGCAAGUGAGCUUUGUAAUAUUACAAGUUCCAAGUAAGGGAAUCCAAGGAAAAUAAGCAUGCUUAAACGUCAAUGAUGAGCCUACACAACUUGAAAGGAUUUUUAUUAUCAUGAUUUCAAAUUCAUGUGAUCAUUCCCCAAUGAAGACUUUUGAGAUUUUUUUAGUUUUUUCUGAAAAAUUGUAAUUAUUACAAUAAGCUCAAAUUACUGUGAUCAUUCCCUAAUGAAGAUGAGGGCCAAUCUAUCACAACUUGCAGUAUCGUCCUAUCUGUCCCCUUAAAUGACAGGCUAUAAACUUAUUUGUAUUUGGAACUAUUCAAUUGAUUGCCCAUGUAAAUAUUAUUUUAAUAUUCAUUCCCAUGGUUGCUAAGAGAAGGGAAAUGACUACAGCGUCAAACAAAGAAGUUGAUCAAGUGAUCUUUGAAAUCUAGGUUAUUUCUGGAUGCUUGGUUAUUCAUUUUUCAAAUUUGGGCUAUAAGGUCAUUUGUUACAAUUUCUGCAGAAAGAUGAUGAUUUCCAGAUUAUCUAUACUUAAUUGCUUGCUCGUACUCAUUUACUUAAUGCAGAUGACUGUAAUGUGUUCAACCAGAGCCAACCCAAAAAGGAGUCAUCUCCGCUCAAGGCAAUUGAUUUUGGGUUGUCUGUAUUCUUUAAACUUGGUAAGGUCUUGGGAUUCCUAGCUUGUAACUAUCUAUCGAUAUGGAUGAUUCAUCCUCCAUUCAUUAGCUGUCAUUCUGAAAUGUUUUUCAUGCAAUUUGUGUUAUUCUAUUAGGAGAUUUUAGCAUUGAAACUUUGGGGAUUUUCUACAGGGGAGCGGUUUACAGAGAUAGUGG